rnacentral:sRNA from 1 species
CUUCCUCGAUCUGCUGGGGCGCGAUGAAAUGGAUGUGGGCGUCCAUAGCGCCGGCGGUGAGGAUCUUGCCCUCGCCAGCGAUGACUUCGGUGGGCGGGCCGAUUAUGAUGUUGACGCCCGGUUGCGUAUCGGGGUUGCCGGCCUUGCCGAUGGCGGCGAUGCGGCCGUCGCGCAGGCCGACAUCGGCCUUGUAGAUGCCGGUCGCAUCCACGAUCAGCGCGUUGGUGAUGACGGUAUCCAUCGCGCCUUCAGCGCGGCUCGCCUGGCUCUGGCCCAUGCCGUCGCGGAUG